UACAGAGGUGGCAAGCGUUGCUCGGAUUUACUGGGCUUAAAGGGCACGUAGGCGGAUGGGUACGCGAGUGGUGAAAUGCCUCGGCUCAACCGAGGAACGGCUGCUCGACCGGCCCGUCUGGAGGAGGACAGGGGCGACUGGAACUCUGGGUGGAGCGGUGAAAUGCGUAGAUAUCCAGGGGAACGCCGAAGGUGAAGACAGGUCGCUGGGUCCUUCCUGACGCUCAGGUGCGAAAGCUAGGGGAGCGAACGGG
rnacentral:rRNA from 1 species